GUCUACGGUCAUAUUAGGUUGAAAGUACCGGUUUCCAUCCAAACACCGAAGUUAAGUAACGUCGAGCCUGGUUAGUACUGGGAUGGGAGACCGCUUGGGAAUCUCAGGUGCUGUAGAUG